CGCGGAGUGGGGAGGUCCCUCAGCCCAGAUUGUGAAAGGGCGCAGACGAGGCCGAGGGACCCCACCAGUUUACU
rfam:Myotis lucifugus cont2.6595, whole genome shotgun sequence.